rfam:Ipomoea nil DNA, scaffold: scaffold3242, cultivar: Tokyo-kokei standard.
GGAUGCGAUCAUACCAGCACUAAUGCACCGGAUCCAUCAGAACUCCGAAGUUAAGCGUGCUUGGGCGAGAGUAGUACUAGGAUGGGUGACCCCCUGGGAAGUCCUCGUGUUGCAUCCC